AGCGAACGCUGGCGGCAGGCCUAACACAUGCAAGUCGAACGAACCUUUCGGGGUUAGUGGCGGACGGGUGAGUAACACGUGGGAACGUGCCUUUAGGUUCGGAAUAACUCAGGGAAACUUGUGCUAAUUCCGAAUGUGCCCUUCGGGGGAAAGAUUUAUCGCCUUUAGAGCGGCCCGCGUCUGAUUAGCUAGUUGGUUGAGGUAAUGGCUCACCAAGGCGACGAUCAGUAGCUGGUCUGAGAGGAUGAUCAGCCACAUUGGGACUGAGACACGGCCCAAACUCCUACGGGAGGCAGCAGUGGGGAAUCUUGCGCAAUGGGCGAAAGCCUGACGCAGCCAUGCCGCGUGAAUGAUGAAGGUCUUAGGAUUGUAAAAUUCUUUCACCGGGGACGAUAAUGACGGUACCCGGAGAAGAAGCCCCGGCUAACUUCGUG
rnacentral:rRNA from 1 species